rnacentral:rRNA from 1 species
GACAGAGGGUGCAAACGUUGUUCGGAAUUACUGGGCGUAAAGCGCGUGUAGGCGGCCCUGCAAGUCGGAUGUGAAAUCCCACGGCUCAACCGUGGAAGUGCAUUCGAAACUGCAGGGCUAGAGUCCUGGAGAGGAAGGUGGAAUGCUUGGUGUAGAGGUGAAAUUCGUAGAUAUCAAGCGGAACACCGGUGGCGAAGGCGGCCUUCUGGACAGUGACUGACGGCUGAGACGCGAAAAGCGU